rnacentral:tRNA from 1 species
GAGGGAUGGCUGAGUGGUUUAAAGCACCGGUCUUGAAAACCGGCGUGCCGAAAGGCACCGGGGGUUCGACUCCCUCUCCCUCC